rnacentral:rRNA from 1 species
AGGCGAAAAGAACCCCGGCGAGGGGAGUGAAAAAGAACCUGAAACCGUGUACGUACAAGCAGUGGGAGCACGCUUAGGCGUGUGACUGCGUACCUUUUGUAUAAUGGGUCAGCGACUUAUAUUCUGUAGCAAGGUUAACCGAAUAGGGGAGCCGAAGGGAAACCGAGUCUUAACUGGGCGUUAAGUUGCAGGGUAUAGACCCGAAACCCGGUGAUCUAGCCAUGGGCAGGUUGAAGGUUGGGUAACACUAACUGGAGGACCGAACCGACUAAUGUUGAAAAAUUAGCGGAUGACUUGUGGCUGGGGGUGAAAGGCCAAUCAAACCGGGAGAUAGCUGGUUCUCCCCGAAAGCUAUUUAGGUAGCGCCUCGUGAAUUCAUCUCCGGGGGUAGAGCACUGUUUCGGCAAGGGGGUCAUCCCGACUUACCAACCCGAUGCAAACUGCGAAUACCGGAGAAUGUUAUCACGGGAGACACACGGCGGGUGCUAACGUCCGUCGUGAAGAGGGAAACAACCCAGACCGCCAGCUAAGGUCCCAAAGUCAUGGUUAAGUGGGAAACGAUGUGGGAAGGCCCAGACAGCCAGGAUGUUGGCUUAGAAGCAGCCAUCAUUUAAAGAAAGCGUAAUAGCUCACUGGUCGAGUCGGCCUGCGCGGAAGAUGUAACGGGGCUAAACCAUGCACCGAAGCUGCGGCAGCGACGCUUAUGCGUUGUUGGGUAGGGGAGCGUUCUGUAAGCCUGCGAAGGUGUGCUGUGAGGCAUGCUGGAGGUAUCAGAAGUGCGAAUGCUGACAUAAGUAACGAUAAAGCGGGUGAAAAGCCCGCUCGCCGGAAGACCAAGGGUUCCUGUCCAACGUUAAUCGGGGCAGGGUGAGUCGACCCCUAAGGCGAGGCCGAAAGGCGUAGUCGAUGGGAAACAGGUUAAUAUUCCUGUACUUGGUGUUACUGCGAAGGGGGGACGGAGAAGGCUAUGUUGGCCGGGCGACGGUUGUCCCGGUUUAAGCGUGUAGGCUGGUUUUCCAGGCAAAUCCGGAAAAUCAAGGCUGAGGCGUGAUGACGAGGCACUACGGUGCUGAAGCAACAAAUGCCCUGCUUCCAGGAAAAGCCUCUAAGCAUCAGGUAACAUCAAAUCGUACCCCAAACCGACACAGGUGGUCAGGUAGAGAAUACCAAGGCGCUUGAGAGAACUCGGGUGAAGGAACUAGGCAAAAUGGUGCCGUAACUUCGGGAGAAGGCACGCUGAUAUGUAGGUGAAGUCCCUCGCGGAUGGAGCUGAAAUCAGUCGAAGAUACCAGCUGGCUGCAACUGUUUAUUAAAAACACAGCACUGUGCAAACACGAAAGUGGACGUAUACGGUGUGACGCCUGCCCGGUGCCGGAAGGUUAAUUGAUGGGGUCAGCGCAAGCGAAGCUCUUGAUCGAAGCCCCGGUAAACGGCGGCCGUAACUAUAACGGUCCUAAGGUAGCGAAAUUCCUUGUCGGGUAAGUUCCGACCUGCACGAAUGGCGUAAUGAUGGCCAGGCUGUCUCCACCCGAGACUCAGUGAAAUUGAACUCGCUGUGAAGAUGCAGUGUACCCGCGGCAAGACGGAAAGACCCCGUGAACCUUUACUAUAGCUUGACACUGAACAUUGAGCCUUGAUGUGUAGGAUAGGUGGGAGGCUUUGAAGUGUGGACGCCAGUCUGCAUGGAGCCGACCUUGAAAUACCACCCUUUAAUGUUUGAUGUUCUAACGUUGACCCGUGAUCCGGGUUGCGGACAGUGUCUGGUGGGUAGUUUGACUGGGGCGGUCUCCUCCUAAAGAGUAACGGAGGAGCACGAAGGUUGGCUAAUCCUGGUCGGACAUCAGGAGGUUAGUGCAAUGGCAUAAGCCAGCUUGACUGCGAGCGUGACGGCGCGAGCAGGUGCGAAAGCAGGUCAUAGUGAUCCGGUGGUUCUGAAUGGAAGGGCCAUCGCUCAACGGAUAAAAGGUACUCCGGGGAUAACAGGCUGAUACCGCCCAAGAGUUCAUAUCGACGGCGGUGUUUGGCACCUCGAUGUCGGCUCAUCACAUCCUGGGGCUGAAGUAGGUCCCAAGGGUAUGGCUGUUCGCCAUUUAAAGUGGUACGCGAGCUGGGUUUAGAACGUCGUGAGACAGUUCGGUCCCUAUCUGCCGUGGGCGCU